rnacentral:rRNA from 1 species
GACGGAAGGUGCAAGCGUUGCUCGGAAUCACUGGGCGUAAAGAGCUCGUAGGCGGCUUGUCACGUCGGUUGUGAAAGCCCGGGGCUUAACCCCGGGUCUGCAGUCGAUACGGGCAGGCUAGAGUUCGGUAGGGGAGAUCGGAAUUCCUGGUGUAGCGGUGAAAUGCGCAGAUAUCAGGAGGAACACCGGUGGCGAAGGCGGAUCUCUGGGCCGAUACUGACGCUGAGGAGCGAAAGCGUGGGGAGCGAACAGG